UACGAAGGGGGCUAGCGUUGUUCGGAAUUACUGGGCGUAAAGCGCACGUAGGCGGACUAUUAAGUCAGGGGUGAAAUCCCGGGGCUCAACCCCGGAACUGCCUUUGAUACUGGUAGUCUCGAGUCCGGAAGAGGUGAGUGGAAUUCCGAGUGUAGAGGUGAAAUUCGUAGAUAUCGCUUGGAACGCCAAUGGUGAAAACAGCUCGCUGGGGGUGUGCUGACGCUGAGACACGAAAGCCAGGGGAGCGAACGGG
rnacentral:rRNA from 1 species